AAAGGCAGCCCCUCUCAAGCUGCUAUACAAGUCCAAGAAGGUGAAUGUGCCCAAGCAUGGUGCGCCCUUCUCCUUUGUUGCUCAAUCCCACUCUAGCCUUGCGCCCUUUCUGCUCAAUGCCUUGUAGAAGAAACCCUUGCACACAAAUCUGCCCUUGUGUGCUACUUCUCCAAUAAGACACUCCAAUCAACAAUCUGACAAGUAGAAGAUCUCCUUGCUAGGUGUGCACCCUCAUCCUAUAGUGCGCCCUCUUCCAAGCAAGCAUGAACACCACAAAUAAAUGGAAGCCAAAGCCUCCUAGAGCCCUCCAUGGAAGGAGGUGCCCUUGCUUCCCUCUUCCUUUGCUUCCAAUCCCAUCUCCAUUGCUCUCCUCUUCCUCUCCAAGUGAACAGAAGAUUGAAAUGAGCCUCCUUUUGCCCUAUGCGCCCCUCUUAAGGAAUCAUAAGGAAACUUAAAAGAUCAAUGGCUAGGAUCACUCCAAGCCAUAUCUAAUCCAUGGUUGAGAUCUCUCAAAAAGAAUCUCAACUCAAAACCUACUUUGGGUUAAGUUUCCAUAGUUCACUUUAUGUCCCUCAAUUCACCCACAAAGUGAAUUAAUAGUCACUUUUCACUGAAGUGACAAAUUUCACCCUUUUGACUUAGGAAAAUGCCAACGUGAAAUUAGACAUAAAGUAUAAGGCACAAUGGGUCAAAUAUUUCUCUCUUGUGGUUAGAGACCCACAACCACAAGGGGACCACUUCCCUUGGUACACCAGAACUCAACAAUUCAUAGGACUAGUCAGAUACCCUAUCUUCCACAGAGUGUAUCUCCGAAAGUACAACGACCUAGAAGCUGAAAUUCAUACCAUAGGUACUCUGAUAAGUCUUCUAAAUAUCCUCCAGGUUUCACCUUCUGAAAAAUGUCCAAGAAAUAUUUAUAGCCAAAGUUCCAAAAUGACUAUCUUGAGGAAGAAAAACCUUAGGAUCGGUGCUCUGAAACCAAAUGUAUGGCCCUGAAAAUGGAUGGUGCUGAAGCGCGUGACCUAUACUCGACCGUCGGAGCAAUUGCCGGGCUUUGAUGAGUAAGAGGACGCGAGGGUCGUUGAGAAACCUUGGGCGUGAGACUGGGUGGAUCGACCCCCGGUGCAGAUCUUGGUGGUAGUAGAAAAUAUUCAAAUGAGAACUUUGAAGACUGAAGUGGGGAAAGGUUCCAUGUGAACAACACUUGGACAUGGGUUAGUCAAUCCUAAGAGAAGGGGAACCCCCUACAAAUAAUCAAAUACGAUUCAUACUUCACAAUUGACCUGUCACAAUAAUGAAUACAUGAUCUCUUACAUAUAGUUGUUCACAGUUGCACAUGAGGCCCAUUUACUACUAGGCUGU
rnacentral:ncRNA from 1 species